GGGUUGUGAGGUUAAGCGACUAAGCGUACACGGUGGAUGCCCUGGCAGUCAGAGGCGAUGAAGGACGUGCUAAUCUGCGAUAAGCGCCGGUAAGGUGAUAUGAACCGUUAUAACCGGCGAUUUCCGAAUGGGGAAACCCAGUGU
rnacentral:rRNA from 6 species